rnacentral:rRNA from 1 species
UACAGAGGUCCCAAGCGUUGUUCGGAUUCACUGGGCGUAAAGGGUGCGUAGGCGGUCGGGUAAGUCUGAUGUGAAAUCUCACAGCUUAACUGUGAAACUGCAUUGGAUACUAUUCGGCUUGAGAGUUGGAGGGGGGACUGGAAUUCUGGGUGUAGCAGUGAAAUGCGUAGAUAUCAAGAGGAACACCAGUGGCGAAGGCGAGUCCCUGGACAGCUUCUGACGCUGAGGCACGAAAGCUAGGGGAGCAAAAGGG